rnacentral:piRNA from 1 species
AUGACCUAUGAUUUGACAGACC